ACGGAUGGCAACCCGGAAGACCGUUUGUUUGAUAACGGUGGCUGGUAUCAGACUACCCGGACAAUGGCGUUCGCGAAAGGAAUAGUAGGAUAUUGAAGAAAGGUUAAGGCAGUAAGCUUAGGAAGAGUUUACGACUAUGAUCUUAAGCAAAAGUUGGUAAUUUUGCUUGUCGAAUGUGUAUAUCACGGGGCCAUCUGGGUAGUUUGAUUUUCUUAGAACUAUGUUUAUUUUCUUGUGGUUUCAAUCCUGCAAAAUGUUGUUCAUGUGAACUGAUGCUUUAUGAAUUUCUGUUCAUAUUUCUAUAUUACAUAUUGCAUUGUGCUUAAUG